rnacentral:rRNA from 1 species
UACGUAGGGGGCUAGCGUUGUCCGGAUUUAUUGGGCGUAAAGAGCGUGUAGGCGGCUAGGUAGGUCUGCUGUGAAAACUCGAGGCUCAACCUCGAGACGUCGGCGGAAACUAUCUGGCUAGAGUCCGGAAGAGGAGAGUGGAAUUCCUGGUGUAGCGGUGAAAUGCGCAGAUAUCAGGAAGAACACCCGUGGCGAAGGCGGUUCUCUGGGACGGUACUGACGCUGAGACGCGAAAGCGUGGGGAGCGAACAGG